ACUUAAGUAGUUUAAUAAAAAAUUUUGAUUUGUGGUGUCAAAGAUAUGAUGAAGUUCAUUUUAGGUC
rnacentral:tRNA from 1 species